rnacentral:sRNA from 1 species
CGUCGCUGCCGCUUCCCGAGGGGAACGGCAGACUGGGGCUCACCGCCCCGGACCGAAGAACAUACAAGCGCUGGGCCCCAUCGAUAGGGCGCCAGCCCAACAAGAAAUUUCGGAUGUACGCAUGCGCCAGGACGACGCAUGAAUCCCC